CUCGAUGUUGGCGAUACACUGUCAGCGUCUAAGCGAAAGCAUUAAGUGAUCCACCUGGGGAGUACGGCCGCAAGGUUGAACUCAAAGGAAUUGACGGGGGCCCGCACAAGCGGAGGAGCAUGUGGUUUAAUUCGAUGAUACGCGAGGAACCUUACCUGGGCUAGAACGCAAGACGAUUUCCCGUGAAAGCGGGAUUCCCUUCGGGGCGGCUUGCGAGGUGCUGCAUGGUUGUCGUCAGCUCGUGCCGUGAGGUGUCGGGUUAAGUCCCAUAACGAGCGCAACCCCUAUCAUUAGUUGCCAUCAGGUCAUGCUGGGGACUCUAGUGAAACUGCCUACGCAAGUAGAGAGGAAGGUGGGGAUGACGUCAAAUCAGCACGGCCCUUACGUCCAGGGCUACACACGUGCUACAAUGGUCGGUACAAUGGGUCGCUACCUGGUGACAGGAUGCCAAUCUCAAAAACCGAUCUCAGUUCGGAUCGAAGUCUGCAACUCGACUUCGUGAAGUUGGAUUCGCUAGUAAUCGUACAUCAGCAAUGGUACGGUGAAUACGUUCCCGGGCCUUGUACACACCGCCCGUCAAGCCAUGGAAGCUGGGGGUACCUGAAGUCCGUGACCGCAAGGAGCGGCCUANGGGUAAAACUAGUGACUGGGGCUAAGUCGUAANCAAGUAACC
rnacentral:rRNA from 1 species